AUAAUGGCAGACGCUCGAAGGAUUAAGGUUCGGAUUGUAAAGCACUUUUGGCAGGGACGAUGAUGACGGUACCAGCAGAAUAAGCCCCGGCUAACUUCGUGCCAGCAGCCGCGGUAAUACGAAGGGGGCUAGCGUUGCUCGGAAUGACUGGGCGUAAAGGGCGUCGUAAGCGGCUGGGCCAGUCAGAUGUGAAAUUCCUGGGCUCAACCUGGGGACUGCCCCCGAGACUUGCCUGCUAGAUUGCGGAAGAGGGUUGUGGAAUUUCCAGUGUAAAAGUGAAAUUCGUAGAUAUUGGAAAGAACACCGGUGGCGAAGGCGGCAACCAGGUCCUUUACUGACGCUGAGGCCCUAAAGCGUGGGGAGCAAACAGGAUUAAAUACCCUGGUAGUCCACGCUGUUAACGAUGUGUGCUGGAUGUUGGGGAACUUAGUCUUUUAGUGUCUGGCUAACACGAUAACACACCGCCUGGGAAGUACGGCCGCAAGGUUGAAACUCAAAAGAAUUG
rnacentral:rRNA from 1 species